rnacentral:rRNA from 1 species
GGAAUUUUGGACAAUGGGCGCAAGCCUGAUCCAGCCAUGCCGCGUGUGUGAAGAAGGCCUUCGGGUUGUACAGCACUUUCGGACGGAACGAAAUCGCGUGGUUGAAUAUUCCGUGUGGAUGACGGUACCGUAAGAAGAAGCACCGGCUAACUACGUGCCAGCAGCCGCGGUAAUACGUAGGGUGCAAGCGUUAAUCGGAAUUACUGGGCGUAAAGGGUGCGCAGGCGGCUCCGCAUGUCAGGCGUGAAAUCCCCGGGCUCAACUUGGGGAUGGCGCUUGAAACUACGGGGCUUGAGUGUAGCAGAAGGAGGUGGAAUUCCACGUGUAGCGGUGAAAUGCGUAGAGAUGUGGAGGAACACCGAUGGCGAAGGCAGCCUCCUCGGCCAACACUGACGCUCAUGCACGAAAGCGUGGGGAGCAAA